AUUGGGGAAUUUUCCGCAAUGGGCGAAAGCCUGACGGAGCAACGCCGCGUGAGGGAUGAAGGCCUCUGGGCUGUAAACCUCUUUUAUCAAGGAAGAAGAUCUGACGGUACUUGAUGAAUAAGCCACGGCUAAUUCCGUGCCAGCAGCCGCGGUAAUACGGGAGUGGCAAGCGUUAUCCGGAAUUAUUGGGCGUAAAGCGUCCGCAGGCGGUCUUUUAAGUCUGUCGUCAAAGCGUGGAGCUUAACUCCAUUACUGCGAUGGAAACUGGAAGACUAGAGUGUGGUAGGGGCAGAGGGAAUUCCCGGUGUAGCGGUGAAAUGCGUAGAUAUCGGGAAGAACACCAGUGGCGAAGGCGCUCUGCUGGGCCAUAACUGACGCUCAUGGACGAAAGCCAGGGGAGCGAAAGGGAUUAGAUACCCCUGUAGUCAAU
rnacentral:rRNA from 1 species